AUACGGAGGGUGCAAGCGUUAAUCGGAAUUACUGGGCGUAAAGCGUGCGUAGGCGGUUUGUUAAGUCAGAUGUGAAAGCCCCGGGCUCAACCUGGGAACUGCAUUUGAUACUGGCAGGCUAGAGUAUGGUAGAGGGGGGUAGAAUUUCUGGUGUAGCGGUGAAAUGCGUAGAUAUCGGAAGGAACACCAGUGGCGAAGGCGGCUUUCUGGACUGAUACUGACACUGAGGCACGAAAGCGAGGGGAGCAAACAGGAUUAGAUACCCCAGUAGUCC
rnacentral:rRNA from 1 species